rnacentral:rRNA from 1 species
GCAGUAGCCGCGGGAAUACGAAGGGGGCUAGCGUUGUUCGGAUUUACUGGGCGUAAAGCGCACGUAGGCGGAUCGAUCAGUCAGGGGUGAAAUCCCAGAGCUCAACUCUGGAACUGCCUUUGAUACUGUCGAUCUGGAGUAUGGAAGAGGUGAGUGGAAUUCCGAGUGUAGAGGUGAAAUUCGUAGAUAUUCGGAGGAACACCAGUGGCGAAGGCGGCUCACUGGUCCAUUACUGACGCUGAGGUGCGAAAGCGUGGGGAGCAAACAGGAUUAGAUACCCCCGUAGUCCCUGUCUCUUAUAC